GUGUUUAUUUUUCCUUUAGGCUUCCUUUAACUAUGACAAAUGGUGACUUAGAAGUGAAUCUACCUAUCUACCUUUCUGGAAAAGGCAAUAAUGUCUGACAGAAAACUAAACCAUAAUGCAUGAUAAUCCAGAAUUGAAGCUCGGCCCUGCCUGGGGUUGCAGAUCUGUCACUGAUGCCUACAACGCAGUAGGUCAACCAGUGUCCUGCGUCUCUCUCCAAUAAAAUUCAACAACCCAUUAAAAGGCUGACAAACAGUAGGUUAUAAUCAUAAUUCUUGUGUUUCAUUAACUUAGAUCUUAUUUCUCUAAAAUGUUGUGUUUUCAGUAUGGCAAAGCAUUCGCUCUCAGCCCUGAAGACCGGAUUCAGGUUGUCCAUGUGUAGCGCUGACAUUGGCCACAAGGUGGCAGACUUAAAUUACAUUCAAACCUCUUCUUUCACAAUCUGUAUAAAAAAAAAUAAAAAAAAACCCACCAAAA